rnacentral:rRNA from 1 species
GGCCUUGACAUACUAAGAACUUUCCAGAGAUGGAUUGGUGCCUUCGGGAACUUAGAUACAGGUGCUGCAUGGCUGUCGUCAGCUCGUGUCGUGAGAUGUUGGGUUAAGUCCCGNAACGAGCGCAACCUUUUCCUUAUUUGCCAGCGGGUCAUGCCGGGAACUUUAAGGAUACUGCCAGUGACAAACUGGAGGAAGGCGGGGACGACGUCAAGUCAUCAUGGCCCUUACGGCCAGGGCUACACACGUGCUACAAUGGUCGGUACAAAGGGUUGCUACCUCGCGAGAGGAUGCUAAUCUCAAAAAGCCGAUCGUAGUCCGGAUCGCAGUCUGCAACUCGACUGCGUGAAGUCGGAAUCGCUAGUAAUCGCGGAUCAGAAUGCCGCGGUGAAUACGUUCCCGGGCCUUGUACACACCGCCCGUCACACCAUGGGAGUUUGUUGCACCAGAAGUAGGUAGUCUAACCGCAAGGAGGACGCUUACCACGGUGUGGCCGAUGACUGGGGUGAAGUCGUAACAAGGUAGGCGUAGAUGA